UUCCCCCUAAAACAUUGCUUUUUUCAAAUUAGUAUGUUUUGUGAAUGUAUUAUUUUCUUCUAAUUUUGUAAUCUCUAUUAUUGUUAUUAUGAGAUGAGUUUUCUGCUUUUCAUCUUAUCAUCUUUGUGAAAUAUUGUGCUUCCUAUUUUGUCAUUAUUUACAUCUGAAAAGUUUUUUUCUGUCUUGUUUUUUCAAAUAUUACUGAGCUUGCCAUGGCAGGGCAAACAUAAUUUGUGAAGUGCAAAGCCAAGGAGUGGUUUGCAAGGUAUGCUGUCUUCCUGCAGACUUCACAUGUUCCAUUAUAACAUUAAAAAUAUAAUCAAUGUUAAAAUGGUGAGUUGUAAGCUUGACACUCACUUUUUGUAUUGAUUUAAGAAUGGAAAAACUAAUUCAUGAGCUUGUACAGACCCUUUAAGCCACAUUUUUACUUGAGACAGAGCCUAUCUAAUGUUUAUCUAAGUUAUUAUUUUAUUUUUACUACAUUAAGCUUCUAAUCUGACCACAAGAACGCAAAUAUAUACAAGAAGUACUCUUUCUUUGAUAAUAAUGUUUAAAUCAGUCAUACAACCAAAUAAAAUAAAAUAAACUAUCAUUUUACAGUAAGCUGCAACAAUAGCUCUUCCACUCCUAUGAACAAAACAACAACAGCAACAAAAAGCUUUAGAUUGAUGUGAUUGAAGGUCAGACAUAAAUAGUAAUACAACAUCGGGUAUAUUGCACUCUGUUCUGGAAAAGAACAUAGAAAAAUUUGUUUGAUUAAUGUUUAAAUAAAUAUAAAUGAUUUUUUA